AUACUUUUUGAAUUUUAAUUUUUAAAAGAAUGGUCAAGUUUGAUAGGAAUAUAGGGCUGUUUAACACGGUGUAUUACAGUGCGGCAACCCUGUAAAUCUUUCAAUGCUCAUUGGCUGGUUUCGGCUGGUUCAAUUUUUGUUUGUUGAAGCAGACGAAACUAGCCAAUGAGCAUUGAAACUUUGAAAGUUGGUUCACAGAUUUUACCGUGUCAAACAGCCCUAUAGGAUUAAUUUGUGGAAUAUUUCAGGAGUCGCGUGGAUUGUCUGCUAUGUGCUACGCUACAAGAGAGCAAACAAGUGUUUAUACUAUUUGGGAAAUGGGAAGGUUAGGUAAAAGUCAAACAGUCCAAUCUCCGUCCAUUCUCAUUGGAAUUUCAUUUUCAAAGAUUGGAUCAGUGGAAAGUGGAUAUUCUUGCAUACUGCAUAGUGGUGCGUUGGACUUUCACAAGUCAGACUCAUGCAUAGCUCGACUUAGUUAAACAAAGAAGCAGGCAAGCAGAAAAAUUUCAAGUAUAGAGAAUGUCACCACCCUCUGCAGCCAGGGGAAAAUCAGUAUGUGGUGGCCAGACUGGAAGACCAAGAGGAAGACCACCAAAAGCUUUAGCUGGGCAGAAAACUGUUCCAUCCAACUGUCGAUGAAGAAUUAGGACAUGUACAUGAAGAAAUGAUGUUGGAGGAGGCACAAUAUAAAAAUUUUGAGUAUUUGGUAUUUUAUUUGGUAUUUGUAUUUUAUUUUAUUUGGUAUUUGACCAAUUAAUGAAAAAAAUGUAUUUGGAAUACCAUGUAUUUUAAGAUACAUGUAUUUUAUUUGAUCAAAUACAUAACUUUUGUCAAAUACAAAACACUGGCGCCAACUCCACAAAUCGGUGGCGCGAUGAAACCUCCGAUUUUAUUCAAAUUUGCACAGUAGACCAAGAACUACUAUGCAAUCACAACCCCCAAAGGAUUUUUAAAAAUAUGUAGCCGUUAAAAAGUUACGGUGUUUUUAGUUUUGAUUUUUGACACUUUCCCGUGGGCCUCUUUUGAAUACAUUUUUUUUAAAUUUUCAUUCUGUCUCGUCCCCUUAUUCAUUAAACAUAUAACAUUAUAACAAUUCGAUAGAGAAUUUGAUUUUCUUUCGAAUGCUUGUUUAAUUUUUAAAAUUUAUUCAUAAAUAGAGGAGUUAUGUGAAAAAAAGUGUUCAAAUGUUUGCCCACUUUAAAAAUUAAUUGUAAUUAAAGCUGCUAACCGAUUUUUAUAAUUUUUUUGUUAAAUAACAAAGCGUUUUUAGAACUGUUAGCUGUAUUUUUUUUUAAGUGUUUUUUGUUGUUGUCCUGUAAUAAUUCUUCAAACGCAA